rnacentral:ribozyme from 1 species
UGCCCAGCAACUCCUAUCCCUACCUCCUCGCGGUACCGACCGGAAACUAUGAGCAAAGAUCGGAUAACCAACCCCGGUGGGAACUUUGGUCGUAGGCUGACAGGGAAGG